rnacentral:sRNA from 1 species
GUCACGACUUGAAAAACCACAUAUGGAUUGAGACUUUUUGGGCUAUUGGAUGACAUAUCUAAGUUUGAUCAAAUACUAGAAUUGAUCUACCUACAUUGGAUGCAUGUUAAGUUGUUGCUACUCUUAGCUCAGAUUCACACAGAAAAGUAUAAACCCAAAGAAUUACGUUCGAAAGAAAGAUUUAAAUUGAUUAUCAAAGCAAUAACUAAAUCAAAUCCGAAUAUCAGAGAUCGCUCGCUAAAUGUUUGCUCACGAUCUACAAGUAAUCAACAUUGACUACUCACUUGAACAUCUUCAGGAUUAUUGGCUCUCUCUCAACAACUCAGAUAAAAAGCCUGAAUGAAAGAGAAGGCAACAACGGCUAUAUAUGUUUCCUCAGUCGUAACAGCAAAGCCUCCCUCUGGAACAAAGUCUUUCUCUUCCUUCUCUUCUUCAGCAAAGACUCUAAUUCCUUCAGUGUCUUUCGCUUCCGUUGACUGAAGCUGAUGUGGCAUUGACCGCUUCCUAUAAUAAGCUUGAUGAACCGUAUCAAUGCCACAAUUAUAAUCUUCAUAAAUAAACGGAUGUGUUUUACACACUACUGUAAUAUUUUGUUACUCCAUCAUUCAACAUACCAAUCAUCAUCAUUUUUAUAUUUUAAUUAAAAAGAUUACAUUUCACAACUUAUAUACAAUUGAAAAUAGAGAACAUCUUAACAAUAUCCCUAUAGUAAAUUUUCUUUUAGUCAACUAUUUAAAGAUUUCAAAAUGGUUUAUUGUAAUCCAUGUGAUCCGGUCAAAGAAUCCAAAAUAGUUUAAUAUCUCUAUUUAUAGUAGAAGAAAAAUAACUAGCUACACAAAAUAUCGGAGAAUGCAUGAUCACACAUGUCAAGCAUAUUAGUGUAUCCCUAGCUAUACGAAGUAGAUGUAUUGUAUGACCACAUAUCUGAACUAUACGACGUCAUGUAGUUAACACCACAGACAUGCAAUUCCGGUACACUAAUAAAUUUACUCCGUUGAAGACCAGUGUUGACCGGCAUAGUUGAGGAUACUAUAGUAUAAUUGGCAUGGGUAAAUUAACUAAAAAUCAUCAAUCCAUUUAUCAUAAUCCAAAUUCUGGUCAAAAGAAUCUAAAAAU